GAUGAACGCUAGCGGCAGGCCUAACACAGCAAGUCGAGGGAGAAGCCCUUCGGGGCGGAAACCGGCGCACGGGUGCGUAACGCGUAUGCAACCUGCCUUUCACAGGGGGAUAGCCCGAAGAAAUUUGGAUUAAUACCCCAUAAUAUUAUUGGGUGGCAUCAUUUGAUAAUUAAAAUUACGAUGGUGAAAGAUGGGCAUGCGUCCUAUUAGCUAGUUGGAGUGGUAACGGCACCCCAAGGCUACGAUAGGUAGGGGUCCUGAGAGGGAGAUCCCCCACACUGGUACUGAGACAGGGACCAGACUCCUACGGGAGGCAGCAGUGAGGAAUAUUGGUCAAUGGUCGGAAGACUGAACCAGCCAUGCCGCGUGCAGGAAGAAUGCCUUAUGGGUUGUAAACUGCUUUUAUAUGGGAAGAAUAAGGUGUACGUGUACAUUGAUGACGGUACCAUAUGAAUAAGC
rnacentral:rRNA from 1 species